rnacentral:rRNA from 1 species
AAUAUUGCGCAAUGGACGAAAGUCUGACGCAGCAACGCCGCGUGCAGGAUGACGGUCCUCUGGAUUGUAAACUGCUGUAGCAGGGGAAUAAUAGUUUUCCUCAGGAAGACUUGAAGGUACCCUGAAAGUAAGCUCCGGCUAACUACGUGCCAGCAGCCGCGGUAAUACGUAGGGAGCAAGCGUUGUCCGGAUUCACUGGGUGUAAAGGGUGCGCAGGCGGAUUGUGCAAGUCGGUGGUGAAAUCUCACGGCUUAACCGUGAAAUUGCCUCCGAUACUGCCAAUCUUGAGUUCGGGAGAGGUCGAUGGAAUUCCAGGUGUAGCGGUGAAAUGCGUAGAUAUCUGGAAGAACACCAGUAGCGAAGGCGGUCGACUGGCCCGUAACUGACGCUCAGGCACGAAAGCGUGGGUAGCAAAC